rnacentral:rRNA from 1 species
CGUGAGUGAAGAAGGGUUUCGGCUCGUAAAGCUCUGUUGGUAGUGAAGAAAGAUAGAGGUAGUAACUGGCCUUUAUUUGACGGUAAUUACCUAGAAAGUCACGGCUAACUACGUGCCAGCAGCCGCGGUAAUACGUAGGUGGCAAGCGUUGUCCGGAUUUAUUGGGCGUAAAGCGAGUGCAGGCGGUUCAAUAAGUCUGAUGUGAAAGCCUUCGGCUCAACCGGAGAAUUGCAUCAGAAACUGUUGAACUUGAGUGCAGAAGAGGAGAGUGGAACUCCAUGUGUAGCGGUGGAAUGCGUAGAUAUAUGGAAGAACACCAGUGGCGAAGGCGGCUCUCUGGUCUGCAACUGACGCUGAGGCUCGAAA